CAGUGGAGCAUCCUAUACCAGUAUUGCCAACUGAAGGUUUUAACGGAGUUUGUUAUUUGCAGUGAAGGAUAUAAAACCUCCGGGGGGAAAAAUGGCGGCCGUCAAUUUUGUCGUUUUCUCUCUCACACCGAAGCCCGCAAGUAGCUUCACCUCUCCCUCCACUUCUCUCUCUUCCGCUGUAAUUAACGGCGAGAGAUUUUCCAGAAGAAGGAGCAUGUUCUGUGCUUUUGCAAACCCGAAUCCCUCGCCGGAGCUAGACAAACCCUAUAUCGAGCUCGAGUUCAUUGGGCCGAAGGCGGAAGCGGACGGGUCUUAUCCGGUGGAUAGGACAAGCGCUAUCAGCGGGGAGAAGCUUCUCCGAAAUAUUAUGCUCGAUAACAAGAUCGAGCUCUACGCCGCAUAUGGGAAAAUUAUGAACUGCGGUGGAGGUGGAAGCUGCGGUACGUGUAUUGUGGAGAUUGUUGAUGGAAAGGAUCUGCUGAAUGAAAGGACAGACACUGAGAAGCGAUAUUUGAAGAAGAAGCCUGAAUCUUGGAGGCUUGCUUGUCAGACUAUCGUAGGAAACAAAGAAAACUCUGGAAAGUGUGCUUUCAGGUUAUUGUCCAAAGACUACCACAGUGGAAGAAGUGACAAUAAAAUUCAAGUUCUUAAGCUGCACAGUAAAUAGUUCUUCUCCACACUUGUUUAAGGUAGGUGAGAGGUGGAAACAGGGGAGUUACAAGCAGGCAUUUAUACAUAUGCUUUUUUGCAUCCAUAUUAGCAUGAAAAAAGGAAGGCCUGGUCGAGUAAGUUGAUUUUGAUAGAUUAGGAGUUCUGGGUUUGUAAGGUACAUAUUAUUUUUGUUAUUUCAAAAUUCAUUUUGUCAUAUUGUUGAAAUAAAUGUAUUUUGAACUAUUAUUUUGGAAAUUCUAGAUAAAAUGAAAUUCUAAAAAGAA